rnacentral:lncRNA from 1 species
GUAUAUUCAAUGAGCACACGCAAUAUUUGGAGGAUCUGGAGCUGAUCCCUAAGUGUGUAGCGAGCUUUAUCAGUUUGGAGUAGCCUGUAUUGACUUGAUGUAUCUGAACAAGUAUCUAUUGUUUCUCUUGGGGUGUUGGUCAUUGUAUAUGUAGUGAGAACUUGCUUGCAGAUCUCUCAAUGGGUAACCUUGCGAGUAAUCACUGAGUUGGCAGUUAGACUUCCAUGUAGACCCCAAUUGUUGCAGAUGGUUGCGGAGAGCGCACAUGUGAUCGUAGUAAUCGUUGCAUUAUUGCCGUGAAGUUACAAGGACACACGAGUGUACUGUGAAGGACUUGUCGGUUUGUGUCCUAAGUGAUUCACAUGCAAGCUUUGAUUCUGCUUAGGCAGGCUUUCACGUGGGUCUUGUCCUUGUGAAGGAUAAGUCGAGUUACUAUGUAGUCACGGGUGCACUAUGUACCUGGCCUUCCAGCUAUAAAUAGUCCCCCCAGCUGCUGUUGCUGAAACAUGGAUCUGAUUAUAGCGAUGGUUGGCCUUAGGUUGCUUCUCUUUGACAAUAACAAAUUUCCAAUUAGCGCCCUGGUGCUAGAAGAUUCCUCGUAGUGAGGUUCCACAUUCCCUCCACAAAUCUUCGUGCUAGUAGAGAUGACUGCGAUGCUAGAAGAAUCCUCGUAGAAGGAUUUGCCGUGUGCUCGGUCUUUCCCCUUGCUCUCUAGUAGUAACCAUGCUGGAGCUUGCGAGUGAAGGAUGAUGAGCUUCACGGUCUUUAUCCAGUUGUCUGGUCGAGGAUGGAGGCAUGGUGCCAACUGCUCAUUCUCUCUGCAACGUCUCGGGAUGAGACUCAAGUACACAAUGUGUACUUGAAGUCCAGUUCCGAGUACUUGUAGAGGGGAAGGGGUGUUGAUGGAGGGCAGCGGGACUGGAGUGCGUGGAGCUCCAGUCUCUAUCUAUGUCACUGCCGAGGGGAGGAGAAGGGCACAACUGCCUAGAGCGCAGCUUCCUUACAUGCACUCCCCACCUCUUGGUGUCUCUUCCUCCUGAUCUGUGGGUAGUCACUAGGCUCAAGUGUAUCCUUGUGAUAUAAUAAAAGCCUAGGACUUCUGUUGUAACUGCUAGUAGGUAGUUGCUUGCAGUUGUUGUUGUGCACUUAUGUUGUACUCUGAACACUCCGACUUCUUAAAGUGGAGUUAUCUAUUGUAAUUCUGCAAAAUUUCAUUAAUAUGAAGAUUGCAUGUGAGAAAUGAGAUUUGUAGUUUUGUGUACUCUUUAUCUGUCUAUUGUGACAAAUUGAUGCCUGUGGAACUGAGUAGUUCGUGUAGACUUGUUAGCUAAAAAUAGCUCAAAUUUGCAGCUGUAAGCCACUGUGUGAGUUGUAGAGAAC